rnacentral:rRNA from 1 species
GACAGAGGUCCCGAGCGUUAGGCGGAAUCACUGGGCUUAAAGCGUGUGUAGGCGGACUUCUAAGUACCUUGUGAAAUCCCACGGCUUAACCGUGGAACUGCUCGGUAUACUGGUUGUCUUGGGCCAUCUAGGGGCUACCGGAACAAGUGGUGGAGCGGUGAAAUGCGUAGAUAUCAGGAGGAACACCGGUGGCGAAGGCGGGGCUCUGGGCAGUAACUGACGCUGAGGAGCGAAAGCGUGGGGAGCGAACAGG